GAUGAAGAACGUAGCGAAAUGCGAUAAGUAAUGUGAAUUGCAGAAUUCAGUGAAUCAUCGAAUCUUUGAACGCACAUUGCGCCCGCCAGUAUUCUGGCGGGCAUGCCUGUUCGAGCGUCAUUUCAACCCUCAAGCCCCCGGGCUUGGUGUUGGGGAUCGGCGUGCCCUCGUGGCGCGCCGUCCCCUAAAUCUAGUGGCGGUCUCGCUGUAGCUUCCUCUGCGUAGUAGCAACACUCGCACUGGAUCGCAGCGCGGCCACGCCGUUAAACCCCCCACUUCUGAAAGUUUGACCUCGGAUCAGGUAGGAAUACCCGCUGAACUUAAGCAUAUCAAUAAGCGGAGGA
rnacentral:misc_RNA from 1 species